CAACCCUAUACAAGCUGCUGGAUACUUGCUGCUCCAGAGAGUCUAAAUGUGGUGUCUGCAUGCCCAACCAGCCAGCAGCAGGUCUUGAGUCUUCAUGCCUGUGUGACUGAGCACCCUCCCACUACACAAGCCCCAGACUUCAAACUGAGAGGGGAGGG